ensembl:processed_transcript
AGGACGUCAGCGGUUAUACGGGGUAUCCAUAUUUGCUGUCAUAUGAGAGAGCCGGCCUGUGAUCAGAGGCCAUCAUGCUGACUUCUCUCUGGACUCUGCUGCGCUCUGUGUGAGUGCUGCUCCGUCCCGAUCCCACCCGCGACAUGUUCCCCGCCGGGCCCACAGCACUGUAAUUGAGUCCCGGAUGGACGUUGUACUUCGUUACAGAGCGGAAGCUGGAGUAUCGGCUUCCUGGACGACUGUCUGGAGCGGCGGCAUCCUCCCUAAAGAUAAAGAUUAAGGUCUCCUACAUCUAUGGCAGCGAGGGUGUAUGUGCAGCCCAGAGUCAGAACCUCCCCCUGGGCUUUCUUUAUGGUCUGAGGGCCUGUUGAAGUCACCUGCACUGCUGAAGUAAGAGCUGCACACAAGAACACAAUAAUGCAUUCCCAAUACGGCUGCAUGCUAUUGGAAAAUUGUGACAUUGAAAUAUUUUGUUUUGCUGUGUUAUAGAUUAGAUUAGGAAUACCAUUUCAACAGAUGGCUUGAAUAGCUCUAUUUGUG